rnacentral:rRNA from 1 species
CCUACGGGAGGCAGCAGUGAGGAAUAUUGGUCAAUGGACGAGAGUCUGAACCAGCCAAGUAGCGUGAAGGAUGACUGCCCUAUGGGUUGUAAACUUCUUUUAUAAAGGAAUAAAACGAGGCACGUGUGCCUUUUUGCAUGUACUUUAUGAAUAAGGAUCGGCUAACUCCGUGCCAGCAGCCGCGGUAAUACGGAGGAUCCGAGCGUUAUCCGGAUUUAUUGGGUUUAAAGGGAGCGUAGAUGGGUUGUUAAGUCAGUUGUGAAAGUUUGCGGCUCAACCGUAAAAUUGCAAUUGAUACUGGCAGUCGUGAGUACAGUGGAGGUAAGCGGAAUUCGUGGUGUAGCGGUGAAAUGCUUAGAUAUCACGAAGAACCCCGAUUGCGAAGGCAGCUUACUAAACUGUGACUGACAUUGAUGCUCGAAAGUGUGGGUAUCAAACAGGAUUAGAUACCCUGGUAGUC